rnacentral:tRNA from 1 species
GAGGGUAUAGCUCAGUGGCAGAGUGCAUGCUUAGCAUGCAUGAGGUCUUGGGUUCAAUCCCGAGUACCUCCA